ACCGCGCAUAACCUUCAGACAGAGACAGUGAAAGGCGCUCGCAGCUUCCCCCACACGAUGUGUCGAUAUGACGUCGCUGUUGUCUCGUCUUCAGGCGGGAUGAAAACAGUCAGCUUGUACUCCAAACAGCUGCCCGUGCAACAACCGACGGUGGGCCAGCUGAGGAAGGAAGCGCUCAAAGCGUUUUCCACAGAGAAAUAUUUGGGUGAAAUCCGUCUGGUCGUUGAAGGAAAGCCACUGGACGACGACUCUGCGUCGCUGUCCGACUGCAAAAUCAAGCCCAACUCUGUUGUGCAGAUGGUGACCAAGGUUCACGGAGGCUGACUGAGCUCCAUCGUCGAGCUCCAACCGUUUAAUACAGACCAAGGACAAAAAUGCUUUUGUACUGUUAAACCUGUGCAGUUAUUUCGAGCUGCAGUUUCUCAGGGUGUAAACAAUUCUUUAGCUCCUUUUUUCUUUUUUCUCUUUUUUUGUUGUUGAUAAAUUAUGUGGGACACCAAUAACAAAUCGAAGGGUACAAACACCGCUGAAAUUAAAUGCUCCAUCUCAUCGGCUUCUGUGCUCGGAGCCAAUGAUUAUAAAUAAUAAAUCAGUCAUGUUAGCUAUAUCAUUAGCAUUACAGGACACCAAGAAAUGAGAAAAUGUAAAGGCACACAGAACAACCUCAAGAAAGUAAAUAAUGUACUGAUUUUUAUUAUUUGUGCUUUGAUGAUGUAAAAAAAAAAAAAAAAACAUAUACCAUUGUACUUGUCAUGGACUGGAUUGCACUUUUAGAUUACUUACUUGCAAAAAGUUACGCAAGAAGUAAAAUUCCAAUUUGCUUUGUUUUAACUUGAAUAAACUUUCUCGGAGGAGUCA